GUCUUCAGACUGUCCAGAAUGCCCCAGGAGGCUGCCAGUGUCUCAGGGCCCACAUGAGUGUCAGAAAGAGUCCCCAAGCACCUAUGAGAAGCACGCACAGCUUUUCCAGGUUACGCCGUGGGGAUCGUGAAAAUACACAGUAUUCGUGUCUGGAAGUCAUUUGACAACUCACUCCCAGAGUCACUUGCUUCUUAUAACUUACCUCAAGCAGCAUAUGUUACAAUGAUCUGGUGCUUUGGGUGAGAGAAGUGAAUAGUCUCCUAAGGAAGGAGGCACAGGUUUUUUACAUGGCUACUAGAACAUUGAAAAUUGUAAAUGUGGUUCAUAUCAUGUGUCUCUUGAUCAAGACUGAUCUCAAGUAUACUAUUGCCUGACUUCAUGACCACUCCCUGUGUCUAGACAAAUGCCGUCAGCUCUUCCUAUGACAGGGUUCAGGGUUUUAAUUCGGAUGCCCCUCAGCUGAAGAAAACGCAUCAACCUCUAGCUUUAUUCUUUGAGGCAGCUUCUGAAUCUACACUUGGGUGACAAUUGCUUUGGCAUCUUUGAGUUUUUUGCAUGCCUUACUGUUCGAUGCAGUCCGCAUAGUUUAUGCUUUUAAAAAAAAAUAGAAAGACUUCCAGAAAAUGCUUUCAGUAGAAAGAUAGAUUUGGGAAGAAUAUCCAAAAUUGUCACUUUGAACUUCUUAUUUCAUAUGAGAAGAAGACCUGCCCAAAUAUAUUCUGCUGUGCAGUGACGCCUCCAGACCACUGCUGGUCCGGACGCUCUCUGUAACCUCACACCAAAAGUGACUGGGGCCAAGGAACAGCCAUGGACACGAUGACACAGCAUUACAAAACACCACGCUAGCUGGUUAUUAAUGAAAACCAGAUGAUGGACCAUGCACCACAUCGUCCAGAAAGUUGACUAGCUGGAACGGAACAUGCAGAGUUCAAGGGUGGCAGGAGCCUGCGUUAGAAGCACGGAGGCUGGGACACACAUCCACGCUCUGCUGUGAAUCGGCUGCGAGUCACUGGGCAGGUUAUUGUC